CUUUAAUGUCCCAGAGGUAAGGCCUGUGGGUUUUACCUGUUGAGAAGAGAAGGAGGCUGAGGAGAGAAGACAGAGUGUGUUCCUCUGGCAUUCUGGGAGAUGAUUGCUGCUCUGGAUCUAGAGGGCCAAGGAAGGAGCCUGAGCCCCAGGUGCAUCCUGGAAGACCCUGCCCCCUGGUCCAACCCCGCCUCCCAAGGACGUGUUGGUGCAGACAGGACUGGACAGAACGGAAAGCCACAGCACAGCCCCAAACCGGACCACCCGACCCCGUGGACAGUGGAGGACUGACCAGCUACUCACCUGGUGUUAUGGACACUCCUAGAUUGAUUGCGCCGGCCCCACCAUGAGGGAAUUGGUUGGCACUGGGCUGCUGCCCCCUGGCCACCGCUCCCCCACCCCCCGGCCCCCCAACCCACAACUGUAUCCCCUCCUUCCAGACAAUGCCAUUUCUUUUAGGAGUCAAGGGUCAAACCCUGCAUCAUGGGUGCCAAAUCAGUCUCUUGCAACUCUAGGAGGCGAUGGAGGUGUGUGGUGUGUGUGUGUGUGUGUCUGUUUCUUGUGUGAGAGCGAGGGCUGGGACAGGAGCAGGGCGAGAGGGGCUGCCCCACUUCGGAGGGGUAAAGGUUUCU